UCCAGCCCUGGUUAUCAAGAAAAUCCCCAUCUCAUUGGACAUCAAGUCUCAAAACAUCUCACAAGUAAUCAACUUAUACACGGUAGUAGAUAUAAAACGCCACAUCAGAACCUAUCAUGCAUUUUACUUGUCCAAGAGAGAAAGUAAAUAGGAACACCCACUGGGUGCGUCUAUCGUCCAGGGUUCAUUGACUGCCAGCUCCCCUCAUGAAUCCAAUGUCCGCCUAGGAGUCCAUGUGAAAGCUUUCAGGACCUCGACGAAAACCUUAAUAAGUGCUUUACGAUCUUUCACAACACCUCAAAUAUUUACCAAAAUGCCCCGGCCAUGGUACUUUAAAAUAAAAUAAAUAAAUAAACUCAAAAAGAGGAAAAUAAAAUAACACAUUUAAUUACUAAAUGCUAUCAAUGAAAAUAAAGUCUCAAUUUGUUCGACAUAAAUGAUCUCGUUUGAAAAUUCAAAUCCACGUUGCCACAUAUCCCGAAUCAGCUCCACUCUGCUUCUGCAACAACUUUCUCCACCCUGAUGGGUGGUUUGGGGUCAGUCUUUUGUCCUCAUAUCAUAAAAAGAAUUCCACCUAAGUAUUAUAAUACAAGUCAUGUAAUUUCAUGGCAAUAUACUUUUAAACAAACACAUUGCAUUAGGCAUGCUUAACAUAACAAGAGAUCAUAACAAAUAAUCAUCUUCGACGAUUAAUACUUAAAUCAAUCAUAUUAUGUGCAUUAUGGAAUCGUGAAUGUCGUGGUUCUUGUAACUUGUUAUAUCCUAAUCAUUGUGUUUGUGGAAGUCAAUUCCAUGACAUUAAUUCUUGUACUUUUUCUUAACUUUAUGUAAGGUAUCUUAAUUCUUAUGGGGCGUCCCCCAACUCAACUAACUAGCCCUACCGCCCAAAUCGUGAAAAUUGUGGAUGUCUGGGAGAACGUAUCUAUCAGACAACAUCUCGGGAAAAAUCGUGGAUGUUUGGGAGAACGUAUUCGUUAGACAACAUAUCGUGCGGGCAAUACUGCCCCGAAUCAUGUGGGUAAUAGUUUAGAUAGUGAGUUCAUGCUUUUUAUCCACCUAUUAUUCUUCUAGGUGUUGGUGUUCAUGUUUACUCCUUACUCAUCAUCCAUCCCUGUCAUAAUUCUAACUUUAAUGGGCGAACGUGAUCGUUAGUUUAACCUUGUCAUAACUAAAUGGCGUAUAAUCUUGUAACAUAAAGUAACUACUAGUCAUGUAAUUCAAUUUAGAAUUAAAUUACAAUAGAAAACAUAACAUGUAACCUAACUACAUCAACGUAAAGAAUUUAUCCCCUUACACUAAUCCACCUUUUAAAUCAAACAGUGAGAGUCCAACAUGAGGAAUCAAGAGUUAAUCCGAGAAAUUUGAACGUCUUUAUUAACCUAGAGACGAUGAAAAUCGAUGAAACUAAAUUCCAUUGAGAAGUGGAACGAGCUUAGGGCAAUGGCUUGGCAACUUGGGAAACCCACUUCAUAAUCGAUUAUGAAAUCAGAACAAAAUAUUCAAUUUANNNNNNNNNNNNNNNNNNNNNNNNNNNNNNNNNNNNNNNNNNNNNNNNNNNNNNNNNNNNNNNNNNNNNNNNNNNNNNNNNNNNNNNNNNUUUUAGCCAUUAAUCCAUCCAUUAAUUUACAAUGCAAUUACUUCUCUAAAAUCAAUUCUGACAAUUUAAUUUUAAUUAAACGAAUUAUAUUAGUUAUCCACAAGUUCUAUUUAUAAUAUAAUUUAUCUAAUUAUUCCUAACAAAUUUUAUUUUUUAUAAUCCAAUUUAUACCAACAUCAAACUAUCUAGAAUCCAUUUUAAAACAAAAUUAAUAAUUUAACUGAAAUCAUAAUCAUAUGUGGAAUUAUAUAAUCUAUAAGAGGUUAAAUUAUUAUCAUCCUAAGAAUUUAUACACAAAUUAAUUAUAUUAAGUCAAAAUUACAAUUCAUUAAUCUAUAAUUAUUAUAAUUCAAAAUGUCGAUAGGGUAUAUUCUAUCACAAACAGAAAGUGCAGACCCCGGUAGUGACCACAAAUUAAUUUAUGACUGGUCUAUCAAAUUCUAUAAGUUCUAUUUACGUAACGUAAUAACUAAAGAGCAUAUGUAUUGAUAUGAAAAUACUGGAGUCCAGUAACCAAAACAUGAUCACUGAAACUCCAGGGACUGUCACAACAAUCCUCCAAAUCAUUUUCUUCCCCUGAACAUCGAAUUCACCCAGAAAACUAAGACAUCGCAGCGAACUCCAUCGAAGACUAAUCAUCGACGAACUCCGACUUAAACGAAAUCAUAAAAAUAUUAAGAAGGCUGUCUGACCUUAGUUCGAAUCCAUCCCGAUGAUUUAGGGAUUAUGGGUCCUUUUUAAGGCGUUGUAUCGAGGAGGGGGUUGACGUCGCCGGAUUUGAUCCUCUAUGGCACAUCAAUACAAUCCACUGGUGGCUAUUGUUUCGUUUCCUUAUCUUCGUUGAAGUUUGUGGAGACUUCGAAUCCUCCUUACUCGCUGGUUGGCAUCUUAUGUCCGCCGUUGUCGUCGAUUACGGAGAGGGAAGGAGUGCUUGCGGUUCAAAUCGAAUUAAGAGUGUUUGCAAGGAGAUGAUCGAGUUGAUUGGAUUUAAUCGAUGAUCCCACGCGUUUUUUCGGUUAAUUACCAAGUUGAUUGGGUUGGAGAAAGGAAAGAAGGAGUCGCCGGAUCGGCGACGGGAAAGGAAAGCCGAUCUCCAUGAUUUGAAGAAGGAAAAGAUGGCAUCAUCUCUGACGUCAUCAUAAGCAUGAUGUAAAUAAAAAUAAAAACAAGACUAAUGCUGGGGUACGAACUUCGGAAAUCCUGCUCAUGGGUUGAAUUCUUAACCAAUUCGAAAAGCCUGGCCAUUGAUAUGACUCAAGGCCUCUUGUUGUCAUUACAUUGUAAUUGAG
rnacentral:lncRNA from 1 species